rnacentral:rRNA from 1 species
GAGAACUGAAGAAUAACAACAUCAUAAUCAUGGCUACUAUACUAUUCCUCUUUGUGACAUGUUAUU